AUGUACAGUCCUACAACAUAGAGUUAAUGCAUCAUAUCCCAUUAGAACUUUGCAGUUAAGCACGCUUGGGCUAGAGUAGCACUGGGAUGGGUGACCACCCGAGAAGUCCUAGUAUUUUACAUG
rnacentral:rRNA from 1 species